CAAAUAUAUUAGUAGUGUUUAUAUUGAUAGAGUCUUCUAUAUAGUUUUUAAGGUUACAUGAUAGAAUUUAAUUUCUGGCUUUGCGUGUUUGCUAGAACUUCAACAACUACCGUCGGGUUAUGGGGCACUUUGGCAGCAAUCAAGCUCGUGGGCUUCAAUUUUAACAAAGGUAUUAUUGUUUAGCAAUUGCUAUACCUAAAUUUUGGUUUCUAUGAGUAACAUAGACUUUAGGAUAUCAAAAUUGAGAAAACUAUAGAACUCUUGCCUUGAAGUUUGAUUUGUUUGUGCGGUGCAAUUUGCUUGAUUUCAUUACUGUAUCAUGAAUGGGUCUGAUUUAUUAUUAUUUUUAUGUUUUUAAUUAGACUAUCAUCUAGGUUUGUUUUGCACAAGUAGUGUGCUGCACUGGUCAAAUGUAUCCAUGCACUUAGUGAUAAUUGUGUUAGAUAUAUAUUUCUUCAUUAAAAUUUUCUGAAAGGUAUGCGAAAUGCCAUCAAAUUUGGCAAUA